UACGUAGGGUGCAAGCGUUGUCCGGAAUUAUUGGGCGUAAAGAGCUCGUAGGCGGUCUGUCGCGUCUGGUGUGAAAACUCAGGGCUUAACCCUGAGCUUGCAUCGGGUACGGGCAGACUAGAGUGCGGUAGGGGAGACUGGAAUUCCUGGUGUAGGCGGUGAAAUGCGCAGAUAUCAGGAGGAACACCGGUGGCGAAGGCGGGUCUCUGGGCCGCAACUGACGCUGAGGAGCGAAAGCAUGGGGAGCGAACAGG
rnacentral:rRNA from 1 species